GGCGAUCUGUGGGAACCCGUCGACUCGUUUCCGCUAGCCGCUGGUAGCAGUGGGGAGAAAAGAAGAGCCGCCUGAUCGUGUGGGCCGCUCUUCCGACCGAUCCGUUUCGUCCGGCUCGCGUACCACUCCACGGAAGGCGUCGGAUAGGUGAGACGCCGGCAAGCCUCCCGCAGCGAAGCGACCACCGCCGGCGACGGUGGGUGUAGUCUCUCACGGCGGCGGAGCAUUGGUUCUCUCUCGCCACAUGAGGAGCCGACUAGCCGCCGCCAAGAUGGCCGCUGACCGGCGACAGUCACCGCGUCGCUCCGUACCGUAGUGUGUUGUAGCCGCCUGUGCGCGUGUGUUUCCGUGCUGAUCGGCGCCCGAAAGGGAGAUAGAGUCAUGGGUAUUCAAGCCCUUCAGAAGUUCAUUGAGGCCAACUGCCCGGGCGCCUGCGUUCCCGUGGAUCUGCUAAAAAUCGCGCGCAACGCCGCUGUCCGCCGCCCCGGGGGGCGCGGAAACCCGCGACUGCCAGCCGCCGGCAACCGCCUGUGCCUAGUCGUCGACGGCGAGUGCUGCCUAGACCGGCUCUACGGAGGCUACUUCUCGGACUGGGUAUGUGGCGGCCAGUGGAACCGCAUGGUCCAGUUCUUGUCCGUGCUCAUCCAGACGAUCCAGAACAACAACAUCGAGCUCGCCGUGUUCUUCAAUGGCAGCCUCGAGCCGCAGCGGCUCGAAGAGUGGCACCGGCAGCAGCAGGCCGAGCGACGCAAGGUGGGCCAGGUGCUCAAGCAUGUGGCGACCAAGGCCACGCCGCCGCCCAAGGUGUGGUGGAUAGCUCCCGUCUGCCUGAGGACCUGCCUGCGAAUGGCGCUGCGGCAUCUGAACGUCACCGUGCUCUGCAGCAUGGACGACCACCGGCAGGAGGUGAUCGCCUUCUGCCGCGAGAACGGCUUCCACGGACUCAUGGCCGAGGAUGCCGAGUACGCCAUCUUCGACCCGCCGCGAUACUUCUCGUCGGCACAGCUCAAGCUCACAUACAAGGGUUCCUUGGAAACACGGGAGUUCAUCCUGGAUGAAGUGGCUCGCAGCCUGAACCUGCACCCGAACCGUUUCUGCGUGCUUGCGGCACUGCUUGGAAACUACCUGCUCUCGGAGGAGGACCUUACACCCUUUCAUCGCUCCCUCUGUCCCGAUGCCAAGGGCAAGGCGAUUCCCCCCGAGACCCUGAUCCCCGCAGUGGUGGAAUUUGUGCGAGGCCUGCCCUCAACGGAAGACCUGGACGCCCUGGGAGCUCGUGUCUUCCCCGGCGCGCCCCGUGACAAAGUGCAGCGGCUGAAGAACUGCGUGCACUACUACCUGAACGGCACCCGAGACGGGUUCCUGCGCUACCGACCCUCGAGCCAGGGCCGCCGGCACGAGUCUGGCUGCUACCCAUCCACAUCUGGCUCUGCAUCGGGGCUGCCGCCGAUCUCCGAGCAGCCCGCGGUCAAUGGCAAAGCCGAUGUUUCGUCACCAAGCCUCGAUUUGUCAUCACCCGGAGAAGAUGGCCUGCAGCGGUCAGAUCCUGCGAAAUUUGCAUCCGAGACUGCCGAAAGAGAGUUGUCAAGUCUGACGGCAUACCGCCAGGCAACGGGCGGUGGCUACCCAACAGCCGGUGUCAACGGAAGUGUUGUGAACGGUGCCUACAAGCCAGGCGAACCUCUGGACUUAAGUCGGAAGAGCACCGAGGAUGACAGCGCCGCGGCAGAUGCCAAUGGCAUCGCACAGCAGAAUGGCCCUGCACACGUGAAUGGUGGGCCCCUGGGCCCAAGCUCAUCGAGCAGCAACAGUUCCAGCCCUGGCCGCCAGAGCCCUAAAUCUUGGCAAGGACGUAAGGGCCAGAAGGGCAGUGCCGGCGCCAGCAGCACCGGCAGCGAGGCGGCAAGUGCCAGUGGCAGCAGCACGGCUGCCGAGGGCCGUGUUGGCGGCACGUUCAUUAUGCCCGAGGCACCCAAGCUGCCCAAGGUGCCUCCAGAGGUGAUGCGGACAGCAAGCGAGCGGCACCAAAAAGGCCUCAUGUCUCCCUGGAUUUACCAGCUGCUGUCACAGGGCGCCAUCAAGAUUCCCGUGGCCAUUGAAGACGAGGCUCCACGUGACAUUCCUUGGGGAGUGACUCUGUUCCGACCCAUCCGGCAGAUGGUUUACGCCGUGCUGUUCAAUAUGCACCACCAUGCAUUUGUUGCCAGGCAAAAGAGGGAGGCGGCUGCUGCAUCUGCAGGCGGCGAGGCCUCCAAGACAAACAAGGAGAACGCCUUCUCUGAAGAGUCCAAAGGCCCGGCCCCCGUGGUGGUCGUGGAGUGGCUGGGCCGCUCGGGCGGUGGCAAAGGUGCCAGCCGGCGCCCUUACGAGCUCGUGGAAGGGGUGCAGCUGGGCUGGCCCGUGCCCACCGUGCAACGCCUCUGGCUGGGCCCGUCGCUGGACGACAAGAAGUGCCGGCUGCGUGCUUUCCUCAGCUGCCUGCGCAGCGACGUGCCCCUCAUGCUCAACACAGCCUACGUGCCCCAGCACCUGCUCAUCCCCUGUGCCGUGCUCAGAUUCCUCAUGUCCCAGGGUGGACCCGGUGGUGCACCCGUGCUGCGGCGCCAGGAGCUGGAUGCGUUCCUGGCGCAGGCAGUCUCUCCACAGCUGAUGGAUGCCCAGAGCACCCAGGGCAUGCAGCUACCCCUGGUGGCUGUGCGGGGUACACAGCUCGCCUCUCUCUUCCUGCAGGGUGUGGAGCAUGCACUGUUUGCCAACGAUGCGUGCGGUGCGCCGGUGCCCUGGCUGAUGUGCUGCCCGUGGCUGUACUUUGAUGGCAAGCUGUUCCACCAGAAGCUGCUGAGGGCCGCCCAGGCCAAGAGUCUCGUCGAGGUUUGCGGCGGACAGAUCGACCAAGUAGCCAAGGUGGAGCGCAUGCGUGCCGCCAUCCUCGAGGGACUCCAGGUGGAGUUCGCGCGUGCGCCCCUGCCCACGAUGGGGGGCAUGCCGCGCUUCAUGCCGGGCUACCCGCCGCACGGGGGCCCGCGGGUGGGCGGACCUAUGGGCAUGGGCCCACCCCCUAGGGGGCCAGCAGCUGGCCGAGGGAUGCCUCCUCCGGGCCCACCUCGCCGUGGGGCCCUUCUCGCCCGCGGGGGCCAGUUGGAGAUAGCCGGCGUGGUGGUUGGCUCGUGGGGGGCCAACUACGGACAGGGGCCAAGGGGCGCCUCUGCCGGACCUCACCGGGGUGGGGCCCGGGGCCCACCCCUGCCGCCACAGGUCACGUCAGUUGGAGGACGGUACGGAAUGGGCCGUGGCAUGAUGCCUCGACGUCCCAUGGGGCUCAACCGACGGCCAGGAGCACCUUUCAACCAGCUAAACAGACGUACAAGCAAAAAGAAGGCAUCCAAGACUGUGACCAAGGAGGAACCCACGCCAAAACUGGUCGGAAAGGGCCGUGGAUGCACCAUCGAGACUGGGGAGAAUUGCACCAUUGAGGUGAGCGAGCUGGCGGCCAAGGAUCUGGAAGCCAGCGUUGCUGGCUCGGACGAAAACGACUGCCCUGCAGCCGCCACCAUCGCACCCACCCUGCUCAUUGCGGGCGCCACCGUCACCGAGACUGACACCGACGGCCCUCUUAGCACCAACGGAGCUGCCGCGGCUUCAGAACAGUUUGCCUCUGUCUAGCCCGCCAGCAAGAGUCUAGCAGCUGCCGCGUGCGCUCUAGGGGUCACUAGUGCGCUGACCGGCCUGCCUUGAUGCCCAUUGCUGACAGUUUUCUGUUGCUUCUUUAAAUUCCGCUGUUCCGGUUCCACCUUCAUCUCUAGUGCUCGGUUUAUGUGACUACAUUUCUGCCCCACUUGGUGCCUUCAUUUUUAUUUUGUUUGUAGGUCUAGAUAUGGGCUGUUUGUCAAUAGGUACGGGUCAGUAUGUAGUCAGUGCUACUUGUAGUACCGUCUUGUGAUAACCACCUGUGAUAUCAGCAAGACUGGCAGUGGGAGCCUUUGCGCCAAUUGAUACAAGCUAUGUGACCAGCGUUCAUUGGUUUCAUUGCAUUAGCCGCUGACACCAUGGUGGAGAUGAAAGAAGCAAGAAUGCUGCCUCCUGCAAGUUCUUGUCUCGAUAAGCGUGUUAACACGUGACUGUGCAUAUUUGCCAGCUUGCAGCCUCGCUGAUGUCGCAGAUGGUUUUCACCAAGUGAUAGUGCAGGUAUCGAUACUAGAGAGUUUUAGCUUGUCUGGUAUUCUGGUGAACGCAGGCGGACUGGGUGUUUGGGUGGAGGCGUAAACAUGAGUGGCCUGCAUGGUACGUGAUGCAGAGCUCAAACAUAGCUAAUAUUGCGGUAACCAAGUGUAUUUUACUUUGCCGUGGGUGUAAACCUUUGGCAGCAACACGAUUACACCACUGCAGAAAAUUUACAUGAGCAGCGAAGGAGAUUGUACACUUGGUCACUGCAAUAUUGGCGGGUUUUGUCUGUUUUAGCUCUACGCCACCAGGUGGCAGCACCACACAGGCUGCUCUUGUUUACAUCUGUGUUUGCCCGAAUACCGAACAAGCUAAAACUUCUACUGGUUGUGUUUUCAUCUGUUCCUCUCAACAUCAAUCUGGCGCCUGCAGAAUGGACCUUCAAGCUUCAUUGUCAGAUUCUCUGGCUGCUUCACUUAAUAUUUGUUGUCACCAGGUAAUUACCGAAUUGCACUCUGGUAGGCUUGGCUUAAUAAUUUGAAAGAAAUUUUGUUCCUCCCUUGUGGUGUCUUAGUGCCACCUACAGCUGUGAGCUAUUUAGAUCUGUGCUAUAGCAAGUCUUUUGCGUAGUCAACUGUCGGCACAGGAGGUCGGUCAGGCAUAGAGACCCGCGGAGCGAUGUGGCAUCAACUUCCUUUCCACUUUGUCAUCCUCAUCCCUGUUUUCUUGCGGAACAGUCUCCCCAACGUUGUUACAGCACGUGUGAACUGGACACGACUCGGCUGCGCCGACCAGUGGUGUGGACCACACCGUACCUGAGCACACGGCAUCACCACGGACUUGUUGGGGAUGAACUUUGUGUGUGUGUGUGUGUAUGUGUGCGUCUGUGAACAAGUGAGACGAUUUUUAUCUACAACUACUCUACCAUUAUUUUUUUUAUGAACUCAUCGUGGACUUGAAAGAUCGAGUGAUGACUCAUUAGUAUCAAAGGACUUCUUGUGAAGACGAGGACUCUCAUCAGCACUGCGCUGCAUAAGCCGCGUCGUCUGCUCUGGUUGCUGUGUACCGACGGCAUCGAGCCUAUGCUGCAUUGGGCUGUGCCCCUAAUGGAAUUGGGUGAUGGGCAGGCCACAUUUCGUACCCACUGCCGUCGUGAGCUGCGGUCUCCCAUCAAGCUAAUAAUGUUGGUCGUGUUGAUUGAAUAGUUGGUCUUACAACAAAGUCUGUGUUGGGAGAACCCGCGCUUAGUACUGCUCGUCUCUCGAUUGUUAACGUUGGCACCCGACCUUUUCCUUUCCUUUUUGCAUGCAGGUGCAGAAAGUAUCUCGUAAACUGAAAAUGUUUUGGUAAAUAGAGGCUCGCAAUGAUCCAGGGAAAACCUUCAGAAAAUGAAAACGGUAAAUGCUGAAGUGGCUGGGCGCAGUGAACACUGUGUAAACAAAAUUGCAGCUUUGAUGGCGACUGCAGCACGGGAGAUGCAGUUCCAGAGACCAGAGGCAGGCUGGUGUUGGCGUACAGCAUGCUGUGUACAGUGUUUAGACUUUUUUUUUCUUUGUUAGGUUUUGCAAGGUGUAUAUUUAUCAGAGCAAUGUUGGUGAGAACUGGGAACAAGAUGGCCGCCGACUGGCUGCAGAUUGUGCAUUGUUAGAUGAGGAGGAAAGAGGGAUUGCAAUGGUUAUGUGCAGGCUGGUAUUUAUGGCCACCAGAGUUUUGCAAUGACGGAAGCGGCGCAUGUCUUGUAUUUAUUCUUUUUUUCCUUUGAACAGUAGGUAAUUGUUUGUCUUGCGCCACCUUAGUAUUAAAGUGGCUUGGGACAGUGGUUACUUCUGCUGCUGUUCCCUGCCGUUUGGUUUCACAGCAAACCAGCGAAGCCUUAGGAACAGGGGAUAAAGGGAAAUGCUUUUUUUAAAAAAAAGCAACAGUGUAAAAAAAAAAAACAGGCAUGAUCGCAGCAAUCAGUGCCCUGCUACCAUCCCCACAACACCCACCCGAUUUGGGGGGAUCCCCGUUGUGGGUUACGUGAAACAACCAUAGCAAAAUGAGAAACAGAAGAAAAAGGAAGACUUUCUCCGGGAAUCCUUUCGGGAGGUUUUGGUUGCAGCAGUUUUGCGAGACGCACUCGCAAAGGCGACGACUCUAGAUUACUUUCCUUUGGGCUGCGAUGACAAAGAAGCCGGUGGGGCCUCAUUCUCCACCGGACAAAAAAAAAAGGACAGGCAGCCCCAGUGUUCAUUCAAUGUCACUCCUCUUGACUCUCUGUUAAACGCUAGCCUCCCACCCACAAAAGGCAGCUGAAGCACAGCCAAUUGUUUCCAAGUUGACAGGGAGUUAUGUGAUGUGCCAUAAGCUAUGGCCUUCUUCCAACAGUAACUGCAUUGGCUUUCUGUUGCACGCAGCGGAGCCAUUGCACAAUGAUGAUCAAAGACACAAAUGCUUACUCAGUUUUAGAAAGCGAAAUAAAAACAAACUGAAGCAAGGAAAAGAAGUUGCGCCAACAUGGCACUAAACUUGCUGCUUGAGACACCAUGCUUGCAGAACUUUGAUGGGAACAGUCUUCUUUUUAAUUUUUUUGAUUUUUUCUUCCUUAGACCUAUCGAGAGGCAAAGGGCGCUUGUUCGUCCUCACCCCCUCCCCCCACUCCCGAUUUUUAUAUUCAAAUGUUCUUAAGGCAAGGCGAAAGUGUCGCAACCUUUCAAACUAAGCAUCCUGCUUCUACUACUAAACGUCGUAGACAAGGUACUCCGCGCAUAACUGACUUCAAGAACAAGGGAGCUCAACGCAGAGUUCCGUGCCGCAAAAUAAACGGAGGUGAAUAUGUCUUGCAACCUUCAGGACUUUUCUGUUGCGCGCAUGCAACUUUUAAGAGACAGCCCACAGCCCAGCGCUUUUAAGCGACCCUGGGCACCCGAAAGCUGAGGGUAGACGACGUAAUGAGAGACGUAAUGUUAACGUGACAAAAUAUGGCAUCCUGGGCAGGCCUGUUUCCUGCACACAGCGAUGACCAGACUUCAUGCUUAAUGCGGGUGGGUAUUGGGGUCUCCGGGUGCUUGCCUAUUCUUCAAAAUGCUCGACGAGGGCUCUUUCUUGGCACCAAGCAGCGAAGUGAAGACCGAGCCGGCGCAACUGCAAACCGCAGCAAUGGUUCUCUCUCCCGACUGCACGCACCCGCCCCCUUUCACCCUGCCCCGCAGCAGAAAUUGCAUGAGCGAUAUAAAGUAUCGAUUUUCUUUUUUUUUUUUUCUUUUGUAAGCCCGUCUGGUUACACUGGACAGGGGCAAUGUGCUUGUUGCAUCCUGCAUUUUUGUUUUCUUUAAACUCCCCUUCCUGCAAUAAGUGCAGCUUUUCACUUCUUGAGAAGUUGUGUAGUUGUACCAGCUAUACUUUAACGCUAGAUCGAGUGUAGGUGGGGAGCCAGGUAGCCUCAGUGCUUAUGUGUAAAUGUGUCAGGCAGUUGUUCACUGCUUUGCUAUAGGACCAGCUCCUAUUUUUUUUUAUUCCUUUAGUUUCUGCUUUUGGCGCUCUUGUGUUUUAAUGGGUAGCGGCUGCCCCUUCCCAUAUAGCGCCCCUCGAGUUUUUCUGAAGCCGUGUUCAUUUCGUAGUGGCGACUGUUUAUUGGUCCUCGUAGUGAAGGCUUCAGUGACGUGUCGAGCAGCGUUCGCAUCUGAUUUUUUUUUUUUUCAUUUGCUGAAACUGCUUCGAUGCCCAUAAAUGUACCACUAUAUUGAGAUGAGUUAUGGUGUUUGUCUGCGUAACGCCGGGCCUAGCGCCUUUGAUAUGCAUGCCAGGACAUGGCACCAUUAGGCGGUCGCAUGUUUGAAAUGUGUAUUAUUAUCAUGAUUAUCAUUAUUAUUAUCUGUGCUAGGAAACCGCUGCAGUGAACAAACACGGGAGAGAGCGAGAAAAAAAAUUCAUGUCGUAGCAUUGACACCAAGCACCAUCGUUUGCCACUGUGUGCUGUGGAAAAAAAAAAACUUAUUACAAGUGGGUGCACUAUAUCGGUUUGUUAGACAAAUGUACUUCUGCAGUAUUGCAUUCUUGAUUGUUUAAACUGCUCGCUGGCUUUUUGCCUUUUGUAGGCUAUCAUGACCCUAGCACUAAGUGAGUGAGUGCUGUGCUCUUUUUUUUUUUUUGUCUCGAUUCUUUGAGAAAACAGUGUAAACCUUUGUGCUUUGUGAAGCUUGUCAACGUGAAGAGAAGGGAAAGCUUGCUUUCUGGCCAAAACGUGGCCCAGUGGCUUCGUCAGGAUAUGGCUGCACACAAGACGGAGGAAACUAUGGACAUUCUUGAAAAUAUCUGCUGUAGCAAGCAUUUAUGUGAGCCCGAAGCGGGAACACCCUUAGACCUACUACUUCUGCUCGAAGGAGGCAUGUAACCCUGGCAGUCACCUUUGAAGUUGCAUUCCCUUCUCCUGUUUUGAAAGCAGCUCGUGAAGCAUGUUCUCGGAACUCGUAGUUUCCAAGUGGGUGGGUGCGUAUGUCACAUGUUUCAGCAGGCCAUUGUGAAAUUGUUAUUUUCUGUCCGGUUGAAACGGGCUGUAGUUGCGCUCUGCAGCAGCUGCAUUAGCUAUCUCAGAUUUGAAACCCAUUGCAGGGCAAUUGCCUAGUGGCUAUCGUUUAGGCAUGUUGUCGAACUGAACCAAGCUUCUGAUUUUAAAUGUGGAUAUAAUCGACCCUCACGCAAAAACAGGUUCGGCUCAGUUUGUUGCAGAUGUGUUGCGCUCCUGAUUCACAUUGUUUCCUCCAUCUUGUGUGCUUGCUUUGUCGUGAUAAAACUGUCAGCAAGCCUCAUAAGUGACACUAUAGGCACCGGACGCGUAGGCUGUUGCGUCUUACGAGGGCAGGAUACAGGCUCAAUGCGUACGGCACGACUGUUGGUCCAAAUUCUGUUUGAUAGCAUCUGCUUACAAUGAGUUUAUCUCGCCUACCGGCAGGCAGCAGUUCCUCGUCGUCAACAGCUCCUAGUUGCUUUGAGGUUCUUAACCUGACUCGGCCUGUCUCCUUGUUGGUUGCUGUUGAAACAGGAGCCGUUACGCUCUCGGCAACAAGGCCAGCAGGAUGUGCCUAUAUGGCCCAGCAGACUCGGAGGCUGGUUGCUGUCAUGUUCCAAGUACAAUUAGAGAACAAGUAGCCUGCAAUUUUUUUGGCCUGCAGUAUUGAUGUGCAAGCAUCAACAGGGAGGAAAGCUUAGGUCCCUGGCAACGCUCAUGGGUUGAGCCUUAUACCCCAAUCACACAGGGGACUUUCAUUUGCAGUCAAGCCCAAACGGGAUCAGAUUUAUCGAUGGCGAUUGGCUCCCUUCCGCAGCUUGCAUAAAGAAGCCAAUUGAGAAGAUGGAUCCUUCUCGAUUGCGAUUGAAAGUGCCUCGCGUGACUGGGGUAUUACUCAUCUCACUUUUGCACCUGAACUGCGGUUGUAGCCAAGUUCUAGGCACCGUGCAUGCUUCUAGCAAUAUGCCUCAUCAAAAUUUUCACGCUGUAAUGUGGUUACCCCGUAAAUUGAUUGGGCCUGUACACUAGCUCUUCGCAGUGCAUCAGCCAAUGUGCCAUGAAGUGCCAGGUUGGAGCAAGGCAUCGUUGAAUUUUCUGCAUAUAUAGCAUGUCUUUUUGGUUAUUGUUCACUCGAAGUGCACCUUACUAACCUGUCUGCCCCCUUUUUUCUUCUUUAGGCCAACGUGUUGUAGUAAGUGGGUUGUCUGUAUAAUUGUCAGUUUUUUGGCAUGAGCAUUUAUUACGCUAUGGUAACCAGUUAUCUUGAUAAGCAGUGUAUCUUCUUAACAUUAAUCAGUGUCGCGGGGAAGGCCGCACUACAGCUGCAAAAAAAGGAGACUGGGAGAAGAAAAAAGAAAAAUGUGGAUUUAAUAAGCGUCGCCGCGUACCAUAACUCCAGUUACUGUAUGCGAUUGCAUGUCUUGCAUGGGUUUCCCCGAAGCCCACAUUACUGUCAAUUUGUAACUUCUUUUUCUUGCAGCACAUGGUCUUCAUAAUUUUUUUUUUACACUUUCUCCAUUGUAAGGAAGAGCAGGAUGAUUCAGAGAACAGUCAACAGAAGAAGCCUUUUCACUAAGAAGGCUGGCUUAGUAGGUUCACGGAAGGCACUGACAAAUUUGUGUCGAAGAGGGGACAAUUUGUAAUUGGGGCUGGGAUAAAGUUUGAAUCAAAGCGAACCAGGGAUGAAAUGGCCUAGGUACGGGAGGGGAAAUGCAUGCGACAAAGAACAUGGCUGAAAUUGGAGUGUGUACCGGGCUGAAAGUUGGUUAACGGCAAGCAAUCUGUGUUGGCGAGCAUGGCGCGUGUGUUGGGAGUCAACUUCGCCGAGAGUAGAAAAAAGAAGCAUCUUGUGUGAGCAGGCGCCUCUGCGAUGCCCGGCGCGUCGGCAGUUGUGCGUCGUCAUGCUGGUCUCUGGAGAGGGAUGUAAUUCAUGUGUUGCCAGUUUUGUGAAUAAAACUGAUUUGUUUUCCUCA
rnacentral:misc_RNA from 1 species